rnacentral:rRNA from 11 species
GGAUGCGAUCAUACCAGCACUAAAGCACCGGAUCCCAUCAGCGUGCUUGGGCGAGAGUAGUACUAGGAUAGGUGACCUCCUGGGAAGUCGUCGUGUUGCAUUCC